rnacentral:rRNA from 1 species
UUAUAAAUGUUAAAUUUUCUACUGAAUUAUUAAUAGUUAUUUUCUUUAAAAUUAAAGAUUUUGGCGGUAUUUUAGUCUAUUCAGAGGAACCUGUUCUAUAAUCGAUGGUCCACGAUUAGAUUUACCAAAACUUUUAAUUUAUAUAUCGUCGUAGUUUGAGUAUUUUAUAAGAAUUUAAAUAUUCAAAAUUUUUUAUUAAAAAUUAAAUCAGAUCAAGGUAUAGUCUAUGUUUUGGAAGAAAUGGGUUACUUUAAUUUUAUUUAUGGAAAAAUAAUUUUAAAUUUUUUUUGAAAUUGGAUUUGAUAGUAAUUUUUAAAUAUUUGUAAAAUGAUUAUAGCUCUAAAAUAUG